CACGUAGGGUGCGAGCGUUGUCCGGAAUUAUUGGGCGUAAAGAGCUCGUAGGCGGUGUGUCGCGUCGGCCGUGAAAACCUGCAGCUUAACUGUGGGCUUGCGGUCGAUACGGGCAUCACUGGAGUUCGGCAGGGGAGACUGGAAUUCCUGGUGUAGCGGUGAAAUGCGCAGAUAUCAGGAGGAACAUCGGUGGGCGAAGGCGGGUCUCUGGGCCGAUACUGACGC
rnacentral:rRNA from 1 species